rnacentral:tRNA from 1 species
UGGCUCAGAGGUUAAAGCAUCUGCCUCCAAUGCAGGAGAUCCAGGUUCGAUCCCUGG